GCGAUCCCUUCGGGGAUAGCGGCGGACGGGUUAGUAACGCGUGGGAAUAUGCCCAAAGGUACGGAAUAGCCUCUGGAAACGGAGAUUAAUACCGUAUGUGCCCUUCGGGGGAAAGAUUUAUCGCCUUUGGAUUAGCCCGCGUUGGAUUAGGUAGUUGGUGGGGUAAUGGCCUACCAAGCCUACGAUCCAUAGCUGGUUUGAGAGGAUGAUCAGCAACACUGGGACUGAGACACGGCCCAGACUCCUACGGGAGGCAGCAGUGGGGAAUCUUCGGCAAUGGGCGCAAGCCUGACCGAGCCAUGCCGCGUGAGCGAUGAAGGCCUUAGGGUUGUAAAGCUCUUUCGCCAGGGAUGAUAAUGACAGUACCUGGUAAAGAAACCCCGGCUAACUCCGUGCCAGCAGCCGCGGUAAUACGGAGGGGGUUAGCGUUGUUCGGAAUUACUGGGCGUAAAGCGCGCGUAGGCGGAUUGGAAAGUUAGAGGUGAAAUCCCGGGGCUCAACCCCGGAACUGCCUUUAAAACUCCCAGUCUUGAGUUCGAGAGAGGUGAGUGGAACUCCGAGUGUAGAGGUGAAAUUCGUAGAUAUUCGGAAGAACACCAGUGGCGAAGGCGGCUCACUGGCUCGAUACUGAC
rnacentral:rRNA from 1 species